rnacentral:rRNA from 1 species
GGCGAACGGGUGAGUAACACGUGAGUAACCUGCCCCUGACUCUGGGAUAAGCCUUGGAAACGAGGUCUAAUACUGGAUACGAGACGCACAGGCAUCUGUAGUGUCUGGAAAGAAUUUUGGUCAGGGAUGGACUCGCGGCCUAUCAGCUUGUUGGUGGGGUAAUGGCCUACCAAGGCGACGACGGGUAGCCGGCCUGAGAGGGCGACCGGCCACACUGGGACUGAGACACGGCCCAGACUCCUACGGGAGGCAGCAGUGGGGAAUAUUGCACAAUGGGCGAAAGCCUGAUGCAGCGACGCCGCGUGAGGGAUGAAGGCCUUCGGGUUGUAAACCUCUUUCAGCAGGGAAGAAGCGAAAGUGACGGUACCUGCAGAAGAAGCGCCGGCUAACUACGUGCCAGCAGCCGCGGUAAUACGUAGGGCGCAAGCGUUGUCCGGAAUUAUUGGGCGUAAAGAGCUCGUAGGCGGUUUGUCGCGUCUGCUGUGAAAACUCGAGGCUCAACCUCGGGCUUGCAGUGGGUACGGGCAGACUAGAGUGCGGUAGGGGAGACUGGAAUUCCUGGUGUAGCGGUGGAAUGCGCAGAUAUCAGGAGGAACACCGAUGGCGAAGGCAGGUCUCUGGGCCGCAACUGACGCUGAGGAGCGAAAGCAUGGGGAGCGAACAGGAUUAGAUACCCUGGUAGUCCAUGCCGUAAACGUUGGGCACUAGGUGUGGGGCUCAUUCCACGAGUUCCGUGCCGCAGCAAACGCAUUAAGUGCCCCGCCUGGGGAGUACGGCCGCAAGGCUAAAACUCAAAGAAAUUGACGGGG